rnacentral:rRNA from 1 species
AGUGAGUAACACGUAUGCAACCUGCCUGCCACAGCCGGAUAAUCGGGAGAAAUUCCGUCUAAUACGGCAUAAUGCAUCGACGGGACAUCCUGUUGGUGCCAAAGGUUAAUUCCGGUGGCGGAUGGGCAUGCGUCGCAUUAGUUAGUUGGCGGUGUAACGGACCACCAAGACGACGAUGCGUAGGGGUUCUGAGAGGAAGGUCCCCCACACUGGUACUGAGACACGGACCAGACUCCUACGGGAGGCAGCAG